rnacentral:rRNA from 1 species
GACGAACGCUGGCGGCGUGCUUAACGCAUGCAAGUCGAACGGAAAGGCCCUGCUUUUGUGGGGUGCUCGAGUGUCGAACGGGUGAGUAACAUGUGAGUAACCUGCCCUUUACUUUGGGAUAACUUCAGGAAACUGGGGCUAAUACCGGAUAUGAGCUCCUGCUGCAUGGUGUGGGUUGGAAAGUUUCGGCGGUUGGGGAUGGACUCGCGGCUUACCAGCUUGUUGGUGGGGUAGUGGCUUACCAAGGCUUUGACGGGUAGCCGGCCUGAGAGGGUGACCGGCCACAUUGGGACUGAGAUACGGCCCAGACUCCUACGGGAGGCAGCAGUGGGGAAUAUUGCACAAUGGGCGGAAGCCUGAUGCAGCAACGCCGCGUGCGGGAUGACGGCCUUCGGGUUGUAAACCGCUUUCGCCUGUGACGAAGCGUGAGUGACGGUAAUGGGUAAAGAAGCACCGGCUAACUACGUG